rnacentral:rRNA from 1 species
UACGGGGGGAGCAAGCGUUGUUCGGAUUUACUGGGCGUAAAGGGCGCGUAGGCGGUCGUGACAAGUCACUUGUGAAAUCUCCGGGCUUAACUCGGAACGGUCAAGUGAUACUGUCGGACUAGAGUACAGAAGGGGCAACUGGAAUUCUCGGUGUAGCGGUGAAAUGCGUAGAUAUCGAGAGGAACACCUGCGGCGAAAGCGGCGCACUGGACCACAACUGACGCUGAGGCGCGAAAGCUAGGGGAGCAAACAGG